rnacentral:rRNA from 1 species
UACAGAGGGUGCGAGCGUUAUUCGGAAUUACUGGGCGUAAAGCGUGCGUAGACGGUUAUUUAAGUCGGGUGUGAAAGCCCCGGGCUCAACCUGGGAAUUGCAUUCGAGACUGAAUAGCUAGGGUACGGUAGAGGGAAGUGGAAUUUCCGGUGUAGCGGUGAAAUGCGUAGAUAUCGGAAGGAACAUCAGUGGCGAAAGCGGCUUCCUGGACCAGUACCGACGUUCAGGCACGAAAGCGUGGGGAGCAAACAGG